rnacentral:rRNA from 1 species
AACGCACCUUGCGCUCCUUGGUAUUCCGAGGAGCAUGCCUGUUUGAGUGUCAUUAAGUUCUCAACCUUACCAACUUUGUUGUCUGGUAAAGGCUUGGAUGUGGGGGUUUUGCUGGCUUCGUCAAGAGGUCGGCUCUCCUUAAAUGUAUUAGCUGGUGCCCCGUGUGGAGCGUCCAUUGGUGUGAUAAUUAUCUACGCCGUCGGAUGUCUGCCAGGUAACCUUUGGUGACAAAAGUUUGCUGGAGCUCACAGAUGUCUCUCCUCGGCGAGGACAGCUUUUUUGAACGUUCGAUCUCAAAUCAGGUAGGACUACCCGCUGAACUUAA